rnacentral:lncRNA from 1 species
CACAGCGUCUGGGACUCAUCAGCUCCCUGAAAUCCAGCACAAGCCUCAUUCUUCCCUUCCUCUGUCCAGCUGUGGUCCAGAAAGGAAAUAACCCUGGCGCCUGCCCCAGACCAGCCCUAGCCUCUGGGCUCCCCCACACUUGUCUCCUACUACAUCUCCAGCUACACUGGCCCAGACAACAUCUAAGCCGCACCCCAGAGGAAAACAGGGAACAGCUGAGGCGUGACCCCUCACCUCACUGGAUGCACAGCCCCUGCAGAGGCAUGCAUGGAUUGGAGGGCUUUUUUGCCACCCAGAGGGUAGAGGGAACCUGUCCCUUCUCCGGCCACAUUCUUCACCCCUCCCUGGGGUCUGCAGGUCUUCCCUGGCUCCUGGCCCUGCUCUGGCGUCUCCAUCACUUCCACUGCCCUACCCCCUGUAAAAAGAUGUUAAGACUGUAAAGUUUCAAGCAUCUGAGAAUACUGAUCUUAUGAUUCUGAAGCUUCAAACUAGACCUGGAAAGAAAAGGUGACUUUAGAACAGCCGGCUGUUUAGAAACAGAAGUUUCUCCCUUUGCCCUUCUGCGGGCACUGCACUUCACAGUUCACAGCUAACCACAGCUUACAUUCCCACAGGGAGCCCAUUCUAAGCACUUUAAGUAAAUGAACUCAAAUCUCACCUCAUCUACACUCCAAGGUAGGUACCACCAUUAUUGCCAUUUCACAGAUCAGGAAAUGCAGGCCCAUAGGGGUUAAGUGACUUCUCCAGGGGAGAUGGUAGAACUAGGAUUCCAGCCCAGGGCAUCUGAAGCCCUGCACCCCUAACCACCAUACACACUUCUGGGAACAUUUGUAAAGUGCACCCAUAUUUCUUAGCCUCACUGUAUUCUGCGGGGAGAGGAGAGGCAGGGCAGGGGCUGUGGCCCCAGUGCCCUUCUACCUCCCUCUGCCCUUUACUGUCUGUAAUCUUUGACCUCUGUGAUCCCCGGAGGGAGAAGAAGAAGAAUGCAAUUCCCAUCCCUCCUCUUCCCCCUCCAGCUCUGCCGGUUGGGCCUGACUCCCCAAACUCUGAGGGAAAGGCUGCAGGUGGUCACCCCCAAGUCUGAACUCUCCAGCCUCCCAGGGCACCCCCAGGUGUCACUACAGGGCCCCAGUGGGUGGUAGACAUCCCAGGGGCCUCUGGCAUCAGUGUCCCUGACCAGAGUGGAUUUAAGAGCAGGGCUGUUAUUUGCUUUGCAGCUGCUGCCAUAAACCCUGGACGCCCCUGGGGAGAGGGAGCAGCUGCCGGGAAACCUCCCGGGCCCUGGAGCCAUCACCAAAUCCCUGCUGC